rnacentral:rRNA from 2 species
GUCGAGCGAACUUUUGGGAGCUUGCUCCCAAAAGUUAGCGGCGGACGGGUGAGUAACACGUGGGAACCUGCCUAUAAGACUGGGAUAACUUCGGGAAACCGGAGCUAAUACCGGAUAACAUAUGAGACCACAUGGUCUCAUAUUAAAAGAUGGCUUUUAGCUAUCACUUAUAGAUGGGCCCGCGGCGCAUUAGCUAGUUGGUGAGGUAAUGGCUCACCAAGGCGACGAUGCGUAGCCGACCUGAGAGGGUGAUCGGCCACACUGGGACUGAGACACGGCCCAGACUCCUACGGGAGGCAGCAGUAGGGAAUCUUCCGCAAUGGACGAAAGUCUGACGGAGCAACGCCGCGUGAGCGAAGAAGGUCUUCGGAUCGUAAAGCUCUGUUGUUAGGGAAGAACAAGUAUCGUUCGAAUAGGGCGGUACCUUGACGGUACCUAACCAGAAAGCCACGGCUAACUACGUGCCAGCAGCCGCGGUAAUACGUAGGUGGCAAGCGUUAUCCGGAAUUAUUGGGCGUAAAGCGCGCGCAGGCGGUCCUUUAAGUCUGAUGUGAAAGCCCACGGCUCAACCGUGGAGGGUCAUUGGAAACUGGGGGACUUGAGUGCAGAAGAGGAGAGCGGAAUUCCACGUGUAGCGGUGAAAUGCGUAGAGAUGUGGAGGAACACCAGUGGCGAAGGCGGCUCUCUGGUCUGUAACUGACGCUGAGGCGCGAAAGCGUGGGGAGCGAACAGGAUUAGAUACCCUGGUAGUCCACGCCGUAAACGAUGAGUGCUAAGUGUUAGAGGGUUUCCGCCCUUUAGUGCUGCAGCAAACGCAUUAAGCACUCCGCCUGGGGAGUACGGUCGCAAGACUGAAACUCAAAGGAAUUGACGGGGGCCCGCACAAGCGGUGG